rnacentral:rRNA from 1 species
AGCGGCGGACGGGUGAGUAAAGCGUGGGUAACCUGCCCUAUACACACGGAUAACAUACCGAAAGGUAUGCUAAUACGGGAUAAUAUAAGAGAUUCGCAUGGAUUUCUUAUCAAAGCUGAGGCGGUAUAGGAUGGACCCGCGUCUGAUUAGCUAGUUGGUAAGGUAACGGCCUACCAAGGCGACGAUCAGUAGCCGACCUGAGAGGGUGAUCGGCCACAUUGGAACUGAGACACGGUCCAAACUCCUACGGGAGGCAGCAAUGGGGAAUAUUGCACAAUGGGCGAAAGCCUGAUGCAGCAACGCCGCGUGAGUGAUGAAGGCCUUCGGGUCGUAAAACUCUGUCCUCAAGGAAGAUAAUGACGGUACUUGAGGAGGAAGCCCCGGCUAACUACGUGCCAGCAGCCGCGGUAAUACGUAGGGGGCUAGCGUUAUCCGGAUUUACUGGGCGUAAAGGGUGCGUAGGUGGUCUCUUAAGUCAGGAGUGAAAGGCUACGGCUUAACCGAAGUAAGCUCUUGAAACUGGGAGACUUGAGUGCAGGAGAGGAAAGUGGAAUUCCUAGUGUAGCGGUGAAAUGCGUAGAUAUUAGGAGGAACACCAGUAGCGAAGGCGGCUUUCUGGACUGUAACUGACACUGAGGCACGAAAGCGUGGGGAGCAAACAGGAUUAGAUACCCUGGUAGUCCACGCCGUAAACGAUGAGUACUAGGUGU